GUGAGUAACACGUGGGCAAUCUGCCCUUCACUCUGGGACAAGCCCUGGAAACGGGGUCUAAUACCGGAUAACACUCCUGCCUGCAUGGGCGGGGGUUGAAAGCUCCGGCGGUGAAGGAUGAGCCCGCGGCCUAUCAGCUUGUUGGUGGGGUAAUGGCCUACCAAGGCGACGACGGGUAGCCGGCCUGAGAGGGCGACCGGCCACACUGGGACUGAGACACGGCCCAGACUCCUACGGGAGGCAGCAGUGGGGAAUAUUGCACAAUGGGCGAAAGCCUGAUGCAGCGACGCCGCGUGAGGGAUGACGGCCUUCGGGUUGUAAACCUCUUUCAGCAGGGAAGAAGCGAAAGUGACGGUACCUGCAGAAGAAGCGCCGGCUAACUACGUGCCAGCAGCCGCGGUAAUACGUAGGGCGCAAGCGUUGUCCGGAAUUAUUGGGCGUAAAGAGCUCGUAGGCGGCUUGUCACGUCGGAUGUGAAAGCCCGGGGCUUAACCCCGGGUCUGC
rnacentral:rRNA from 1 species